rnacentral:rRNA from 1 species
GAUGAACGCUGGCGGCGUGCCUAAUACAUGCAAGUCGAACGCAUAGCGAAAGGUGCUUGCACCUUUCAAGUGAGUGGCGAACGGGUGAGUAACACGUGGACAACCUGCCUCAAGGCUGGGGAUAACAUUUGGAAACAGAUGCUAAUACCGAAUAAAACUUAGUGUCGCAUGACACAAAGUUAAAAGGCGCUUCGGCGUCACCUAGAGAUGGAUCCGCGGUGCAUUAGUUAGUUGGUGGGGUAAAGGCCUACCAAGACAAUGAUGCAUAGCCGAGUUGAGAGACUGAUCGGCCACAGUGGGACUGAGACACGGCCCAAACUCCUACGGGAGGCUGCAGUAGGGAAUCUUCCACAAUGGGCGAAAGCCUGAUGGAGCAACGCCGCGUGUGUGAUGAAGGCUUUCGGGUCGUAAAGCACUGUUGUAUGGGAAGAACAGCUAGAAUAGGAAAUGAUUUUAGUUUGACGGUACCAUACCAGAAAGGGACGGCUAAAUACGUG